AUUGAACGCUGGCGGCAUGCUUUACACAUGCAAGUCGAACGGCAGCGCGGGCUUCGGCCUGGCGGCGAGUGGCGAACGGGUGAGUAAUACAUCGGAACGUGCCCAGUAGUGGGGGAUAGCUCGGCGGAAGCCGGAUUAAUACCGCAUACGACCUGAGGGUGAAAGCGGGGGAUCUUCGGACCUCGCGCUAUUGGAGCGGCCGAUGGCAGAUUAGCUAGUUGGUGGGGUAAAGGCCUACCAAGGCGACGAUCUGUAGCUGGUCUGAGAGGACGACCAGCCACACUGGGACUGAGACACGGCCCAGACUCCUACGGGAGGCAGCAGUGGGGAAUUUUGGACAAUGGGCGAAAGCCUGAUCCAGCAAUGCCGCGUGUGUGAUGAAGGCCUUCGGGUUGUAAAGCACUUUUGGCGGGAACGAAAAGGACUGUGCCAAUACCACGGUUCGAUGACGGUACCCGCAGAAUAAGCACCGGCUAACUACGUG
rnacentral:rRNA from 1 species